rnacentral:rRNA from 1 species
UACGGAGGGUGCAAGCGUUGUUCGGAAUCACUGGGCGUAAAGCGCGUGUAGGCGGCUAUCUAAGUCUGAUGUGAAAGCCCUGGGCUCAACUCAGGAAGUGCAUUGGAUACUGGAUAGCUGGAGUACCGGAGAGGAGGGUGGAAUUCCUGGUGUAGCGGUGAAAUGCGUAGAUAUCAGGAGGAACACCGGUGGCGAAGGCGUCCCUCUGGCCGGAUACUGACGCUGAGACGCGAAAGCGUGGGGAGCAAACGGG